UUCUUGGCAUGCCACCACUUGUAUAAUAUUUUGUGUAUUGUAAAUCAGAUAUUAUAAAAGAUAAAUAAAACGAAUGUUUUGUGCAAAUGCCUUGUUGUUCUGAUAUUAGCUUGUCCGAGCUAACACAACGUCAGAUUGGAGUACGGGUUGAGAAUCCUUAGGCUUUGGUCUGACGGGACGUGUUAGUGGGCGGCCUGGCCUAGUUACGAAAUGCACUUUUUGUAACUUUGGCUGGAUUGCCCGUUAACCCGUCUUGUAGCGCUCCUGAACCUUGGUAGACGGUCGGAUCGUCGGUCAUGUUCUUGUUUGAUUGUUGGCCGGUGGUUCGACCUAUGCCUAGAACAGUUCGGGGAUGUUACAGUCGGGGGCAUUCGUAUUUCAUAGUCAGAGGUGAAAUUCUUGGUUUUAUGAAAGACGAACAACUGCGAAAGCAUUUGCCAAGGAUGUUUUCAUUAAUCAAGAAUGAAAUUUGGGGGCUCGAAGACGAUCAGAUACUGUCCUAGUCUCAACCAUAAACGAUGCCGACCAGGGAUCAGCGGAAGUUUCCUUUAGGACUCCGCUGGCACCUUAGGAGAAAUCAAAGUUUUUGGGUUCCGGGGGCUGAAACUUAAAGGAAUUGACGGAAGGGCACCACCAGGAGUGGAGCCUGCAGCUUAAUUUGACUCAACACGGGGAAACUAACCAGGUCCAAACAUAGUAAGGAUUGAUAGACUGAGAGCUCUUUCUUGAUUCUUUGGGUGGUGGUGCAUGGCCGUUCUUAGUUGGUGAAGCGAUUUGUCUGGUUAAUUCUGUUAACGAACGAGACCUCAGCCUGCUAACUAGCUACGUGGAGGCAUCCCUUCAUGGUCGGCUUCUUAGAGGGACUAUGGCCGUUUAGGCCAAGGAAGUUUGAGGCAAUAACAGGUAUGUGAUGCCCUUAGAUGUUCUGGGCCGCACGCGUGCUACACUGAUGUAUUCAACGAGGUCACACCUUGGCCGACAAGCCCAGGUAAUCUUUAAAAUUUCAUCGUGAUGGGGAUAGAUCAUUGCAAUUGUUGGUCUUCAACGAGGAAUUCCUAGUAAGGACGAGUCAUCAGCUCGUGUUGACUACGUCCCUGCCCUUUGUACACACCGCCCGUCGCUCCUACCGAUUGAAUGAUCCGGUGAAGUGUUUGGAUCGCGGCGACGUGGGUGGUUCGCCGUCUGCAACGUCGCGAGAAGACCACUAAACCUUAUCAUUUAGAGGAAGGAGAAGUCGUAACAUGGUUUCCGUAGGUGAACCUACGGAAGG
rnacentral:rRNA from 1 species